rnacentral:rRNA from 1 species
GAUGAACGCUGGCUCCAGGCUUAACACAUGCAAGUCGAGGGGAGACGACGGGGAAGCUUGCUUCCCCGGGCGUCGACCGGCGCACGGGUGAGUAACGCGUAUCCAACCUGCCUCUGACUGAGGGAUAACCCGUCGAAAGUCGGCCUAAUACCUCAUGGCAUCGUCUGCGGGCAUCCAACGACGAUUAAAGAUUUCAUCGGUCAGGGAUGGGGAUGCGUCUGAUUAGCUUGUUGGCGGGGUAACGGCCCACCAAGGCUACGAUCAGUAGGGGUUCUGAGAGGAAGGUCCCCCACAGUGGAACUGAGACACGGUCCAAGCUCCUACGGGAGGCAGCAGUGAGGAAUAUUGGUCAAUGGGCGGGAGCCUGAACCAGCCAAGUAGCGUGCAGGAGGACGGCCCUAUGGGUUGUAAACUGCUUUUAUGCGGGGAUAAAGUGAGGGACGUGUCCUUCAUUGCAGGUACCGCAUGAAUAAGGACCGGCUAAUUCCGUG